rnacentral:rRNA from 1 species
GAUGAACGCUGGCGGCGUGCUUAACACAUGCAAGUCGAACGAUGAAGCCCAGCUUGCUGGGUGGGUUAGUGGCGAACGGGUGAGUAACACGUGAGUAACCUGCCCUUGACUCUGGGAUAAGCCCGGGAAACUGGGUCUAAUACCGGAUAGGAGCGCCUGUCGCAUGACGGGUGUUGGAAAGAUUUUUCGGUCAUGGAUGGACUCGCGGCCUAUCAGCUUGUUGGUGAGGUAAUGGCUCACCGAGGCGACGACGGGUAGCCGGCCUGAGAGGGUGACCGGCCACACUGGGACUGAGACACGGCCCAGACUCCUACGGGAGGCAGCAGUGGGGAAUAUUGCACAAUGGGCGGAAGCCUGAUGCAGCGACGCCGCGUGAGGGAUGACGGCCUUCGGGUUGUAAACCUCUUUCAGUAGGGAAGAAGCGAAAGUGACGUACCUGCAGAGA